rnacentral:rRNA from 1 species
AUUGAACGCUGGCGGCAGGCCUAACACAUGCAAGUCGAACGAGUGGCGGACGGGUGAGUAAUGUCUGGGAAACUGCCUGAUGGAGGGGGAUAACUACUGGAAACGGUAGCUAAUACCGCAUACCAUCAGAUGUGCCCAGAUGGGAUUAGCUUGUUGGGUGGGUAACGGCGCACCAAGGCGACGAUCCCUAGCUGGUCUGAGAGGAUGACCCGCAAAACUGGAACUUAGACACGGUCCAGACUCCUACGGGAGGCAGCAGUGGGGAAUAUUGCACAAGUGGCGCAAGCCUGAGGCAGACAUGCCGCGUGUAUGAAGAAGUCCUUCGGGUUUUAAAGUACUUUCAGCGGGGAGGCGUUACCCGCAGAAGAAGCACCGGCUAACUCCGUGCCAGCAGCCGCGGUAAUUC